UCUGUAGCAAGGUUAACCGUAUAGGGGAGCCGGAGGGAAACCGAGUCUUAACCGGGCGUUAAGUUGCAGGGUAUAGACCCGAAACCCGGUGAUCUAGCCAUGGGCAGGUUGAAGGUUGGGUAACACUAACUGGAGGACCGAACCGACUAAUGUUGAAAAAUUAGCGGAUGACCUGUGGCUGGGGGUGAAAGGCCAAUCAAACCGGGAGAUAGCUGGUUCUCCCCGAAAGCUAUUUAGGUAGCGCCUCGUGAAUUCAUCUCCGGGGGUAGAGCACUGUUUCGGCUAGGGGGCCAUCCCGGCUUACCAACCCGAUGCAAACUGCGAAUACCGGAGAAUGUUAUCACGGGAGACACACGGCGGGUGCUAACGUCCGUCGUGAAGAGGGAAACAACCCAGACCGCCAGCUAAGGUCCCAAAGUCAUGGUUAAGUGGGAAACGAUGUGGGAAGGCCCAGACAGCCAGGAUGUUGGCUUAGAAGCAGCCAUCAUUUAAAGAAAGCGUAAUAGCUCACUGGUCGAGUCGGCCUGCGCGGAAGAUGUAACGGGGCUAAACCAUGCACCGAAGCUGCGGCAGCGAACGUAUCACUUAAAGCGAUUCAGCGGGUUACGAUUGACGGAGCGAAGCGACGUCAAAGCGUAUACAAAGUCGAGUCGGUUUAAGGAUACGUUCGUUGGGUAGGGGAGCGUUCUGUAAGCCUGUGAAGGUGUGUCGUGAGGCAUGCUGGAGGUAUCAGAAGUGCGAAUGCUGACAUAAGUAACGAUAAAGCGGGUGAAAAGCCCGCUCGCCGGAAGACCAAGGGUUCCUGUCCAACGUUAAUCGGGGCAGGGUGAGUCGACCCCUAAGGCGAGGCCGAAAGGCGUAGUCGAUGGGAAACGGGUUAAUAUUCCCGUACUUGGUGUUACUGCGAAGGGGGGACGGAGAAGGCUAUGUUGGCCGGGCGACGGUUGUCCCGGUUUAAGCGUGUAGGUGUGUGUUCCAGGUAAAUCCGGUUCACUUUAACACUGAGGCGUGAUGACGAGGCACUACGGU
rnacentral:rRNA from 1 species